rnacentral:rRNA from 1 species
CGUGUAGGCGGUUUCUUAAGUCUGAUGUGAAGCCCGGGCUCAACCCGGGAAGUGCAUUGGAUACUGGGAGACUUGAAUACGGGAGAGGGUAGUGGAAUUCCUAGUGUAGGAGUGAAAUCCGUAGAUAUUAGGAGGAACACCGGUGGCGAAGGCGGCUACCUGGACCGAUAUUGACGCUGAGACGCGAAAGCGUGGGGAGCAAACAGGAUUAGAUACCCUGGUAGUCCACGCCGUAAACGAUGAGAACUAGGUGUUGCGGGUAUUGACCCUGCAGUGCCGCAGCUAACGCAUUAAGUUCUCCGCCUGGGAAGUACGGUCGCAAGACUAAA